rnacentral:rRNA from 1 species
UGCCAGCCGCCGCGGUAAUACGGAGGGUGCGAGCGUUGUUCGGAUUUAUUGGGCGUAAAGCGCGUGUAGGCGGUUUUGUAAGUCUGAUGUGAAAGCCCCGGGCUCAACCUGGGAAGUGCAUUGGAAACUGCAAGACUUGAGUACGGGAGAGGGCAGUGGAAUUCCUAGUGUAGGAGUGAAAUCCGUAGAUAUUAGGAGGAACACCGGUGGCGAAGGCGGCUCUCUGGACCGACCCUGACGCUGAGGCGCGAAAGCCAGGGGAGCGAACGGGAUUAGAUA